ACAUGGUAAAAGCAGCUACUAUGGUGAGCAGAUUCCUUCAAUUUUAAACUCCAAUGCUGUUUGUUAAAUGAUUAAAGGAAGCAGGGGAGUCCUUUCUAAAAGUUACAUGAAUUAUUUUAAAUCUCCAAUAUUGACCAAUGGCUAAAGACAUUUAGUUUGAGGAAUGCAUAGUUGAAUUGGAAUAUGGGAACUGCAUCCACUACCUCUCCUCUCUCUUUCCCUCAACUGGUCUUUAUCAUUAUACAUGGUGUAGGUGUAUAUUAUCUUUUCUAAACUGAUUAGAGAAAUGCCCGUGUUGAAAUAUUGUCUAACACCAUUAACUAGUGCUUAGAAUCAUGCAUAUUUUGGUUUUUAGCCCUUGAGCUGAAUGUGAGUUAUAGUACUAGUCCCUCAACUCCUUGAUUUGGUCUAAUUAAUUAUCAGUUUAACUCCAAGAAGUGAAAUGUUGGAUAAAUAGCCUAUGAAAGUCCAUGUCAGCAAGGAAAUGUAUGAAAAGAAUGCAAAGGUGUAUUUAUUAUUUGUUGAGGGAAAAAAAAGUAAACUUAGAGGAUGAAAUGUUUAAUUCGUUAUUUUCGUAUUUUUUUAAUCCAAGUCAUCAUACUCAGUGAGUGACUACUUGCAUUUUGUGGCAUGCCUAGUAAGCAUGUUCAAGGCUGGCUCAGCAGAAUUCAACUUUAGUUCAAGAACUUAAUAGCAAUGAUGCACAUAAUUUAAAGGCUUUAAAGUUCUUUUUUUUUUCCUUUAUUUCUGAAAAUAAGAAAACCUUUAUGUGAAAGUGCAGGUGUGUAUGCAUGUUGUUUCUGACAAUUUCGUUACUGCUUGACCUUGUAUUAUGGCUAAAAAAAGGACCGGAUUUCAAAAAGGCUUAUGGUUAACAUGCAAAUAAUUCUGUACCCAGCUUGUUUUUGUUAAUUAUAUAACAUUUCUUUACUUGAAUCAGAUCUCUAGUGAACUUUUAGCAUUCUAAUUGCUUUUUAAUCUCUCCAUCUCCUUAUAUUUCCAGGGAUACCUUGAUAUUGCAAGAAA
rnacentral:misc_RNA from 1 species